rnacentral:lncRNA from 12 species
CCGGGAAAAGAUGCAAGCCACGAUGCUGUUUACAGAGAGUUUGUUUUGAAUUUAGGAACAAAAUAAAAUGUCAGCAGUUCGCCACUGAGACAACACACAAGAGUCAGAAGGUGCUGCUGCAGCUCCAGGGUCUGCUCUUUGCCAGCUCUUGAACUUGUGCUUCAGCCUGGAGGAACUUUUCUCAGCCUUCAGAUGAUGUGAACCACAAAACCUUGCCAGGAUCCCG